rnacentral:rRNA from 1 species
CUAGUCAUAUGGAUUCGCCCGCCGCGCCCCGCGCCCGUCCCGCCGCCCCCGCCCGCUCCUACGGGAGGCAGCAGUGGGGAAUAUUGCACAAUGGGCGCAAGCCUGAUGCAGCCAUGCCGCGUGUAUGAAGAAGGCCUUCGGGUUGUAAAGUACUUUCAGCGGGGAGGAAGGGAGUAAAGUUAAUACCUUUACUCAUUGACGUUACCCGCAGAAGAAGCACCGGCUAACUCCGUGCCAGCAGCCGCGGUAAUACAAU